UACGGGGGGUGCGAGCGUUGUCCGGAAUCACUGGGCGUAAAGAGCUCGUAGGCGGUUCGUCGCGUCGGCUGUGAAAUCCCGAGGCUCAACCUCGGGUCUGCAGUCGAUACGGGCGGACUGGAGUUCGGCAGGGGAGACUGGAAUUCCUGGUGUAGCGGUGAAAUGCGCAGAUAUCAGGAGGAACACCGGUGGCGAAGGCGGUUCUCUGGGCCUUACCUGACGCUGAGGAGCGAAAGCGUGGGGAGCGAACAGG
rnacentral:rRNA from 1 species